rnacentral:rRNA from 1 species
AUUGAACGCUGGCGGCAGGCCUAACACAUGCAAGUCGAACGAGUGGCGGACGGGUGAUUAAUGUCUGGGAAACUGCCUGAUGGAGGGGGAUAACUACGGGAAACGGUAGCUACUACCUCAUACCAUCAGAUGUGCCCAGAUGGGAUUAGCUUGUUGGUGGGGUAACGGCUCACCAAGGGGACGAUCCCUAGCUGGUCUGAGAGGAUGACCAGCCACACUGGAACUGGGACGCGGACCAGACUCGUACGGGAGGCAGCAGUGGGGAAUAUUGCACAGUGGGCGGAAGCCUAAUGCAGCCAUGCCGCGUGUAUUAAGAAGGCCUUCGGGUUGUAAAGUACUUUCAGCGGGGAGGCGUUACCCGCAGAAGAAGCACCGGCUAACUCCGUGCCAGCAGCCGCGGUAAUUC